rnacentral:misc_RNA from 1 species
UCCCAUUCAGCACGGGCAGUCCUGCUAGAGUGCACCCUUUCGGGUUUGCAACUAACAGCAAGGGUUUCGCUCGUUACAGCACUUAAGCUAACAUCUCACGACACGAGCUGACGACAGCCAUGCAACACCUGAUGAAGGCUCCCCUUUCGGGGUCGUUACCGUUUCCGGUUCCUACCACCUCCACUUCAAGCCCGGGUAAGGUUCUUCGCGUUGCAUCGAAUUGAACCACAUGCUCCACCGCUUGUGCGAGCCCCCGUCAAUUCCUUUGAGUUUUAACCUUGCGGCCGUACUCCCCAGGCGGGACACUUAACGCGUUAGCUGCAACAGAGAAAGGUGAACCCUCCUCCAUUCAGUGUCCAUCGUUUACAGCCGGGACUAC